AGUGAACGCUGGCGGUAGGCCUAACACAUGCAAGUCGAACGGCAGCACAGAGGAGCUUGCUCCUUGGGUGGCGAGUGGCGGACGGGUGAGGAAUACAUCGGAAUCUACUCUGUCGUGGGGGAUAACGUAGGGAAACUUACGCUAAUACCGCAUACGACCUACGGGUGAAAGCAGGGGACCUUCGGGCCUUGCGCGAUUGAAUGAGCCGAUGUCGGAUUAGCUAGUUGGCGGGGUAAAGGCCCACCAAGGCGACGAUCCGUAGCUGGUCUGAGAGGAUGAUCAGCCACACUGGAACUGAGACACGGUCCAGACUCCUACGGGAGGCAGCAGUGGGGAAUAGUGGACAAUGGGCGCAAGCCUGAUCCAGCCAUACCGCGUGGGUGAAGAAGGCCUUCGGGUUGUAAAGCCCUUUUGUUGGGAAAGAAAUCCAGCUGGCUAAUACCCGGGGCUAAUGACGGUACCGUAAGAAUAAGCACCGGCUAACUACGUGCCAGCAGCCGCAGUAA
rnacentral:rRNA from 1 species